rnacentral:lncRNA from 1 species
UGUUUCACUUUCAACCCCCAAUCUUAAAAAAACAAAAAAACUUCCAUGCUCUCUUCCCCUCCCCCUUUUUCUUUCUGUCGAUUGGGUUCAUUAGAGACCCGCCCUACCGCCAACGACGACGGCGGUGACCGCCGUGUACAGCGAAGGAGCGCAACCUAGGUACGCCUACUUUAAAAUUUUUUUAUGUUUCUUUGUUAAAAAAGGUUUUCUUGAAAAAAGAAAAGGAAAAAAAAUGAAUAAAUAUGAAAAAAACAAGGUAAGCAGAGAACAAAAAGAAGAAAAAAGGAAAAAAAAGAACAAAACUAAACCUCUUGAACCUUCCUUCUCUUUUUUUGUUUUCGUAUCCGUUUUUAUUUCCAAUAUCUGUGUUACAAUCUUUCUUUUAAAAAAAAAUAAACCCCUCAUUUUACAACAUUUUUGAAUGGCUUUUUAUAGCCAUCUUUUACAAGUUUUUUUAUUACUUUUUCCAUAUUUGCCCGUUUUGCUUGUUUGCUCUGUUUUUGCAGGGUAUGGGGGUGACUGGUGGAGCAGGUGAUGGUGGCUGGUGUCAGAGGAAAGUGGGGAGGUGGCUAGGGUUUUUUUCUUUGCUGGAAAACGUUUAGUAGGUUAGUUUAGGUGGGCUGUUGGUUUAGAUUGGGUUUGAUGAUGUUGGGCUGAUGAAAUUGGGGUGGGUAUUUGGUUGUAUUUGGGUCAAAAUUGGCCUACAACAGCUGCCCCUCUUUGCUCAUUAUCGUGUAACGGGAAUAGAGCAAAGACAUAAUGAAAGGUCAAUUUCGCCCGGUCUUGCCAAUUGUUGACUUCUUUGGCGCUCUUCCUUUCCGGGCAGUCUCUUACUAGUCCAUCGCAUCUUGUAACUUUGGUUCAGUUCAUUGCAUCUUCUGAUUUGUAGCUUCAAUAUACUUCAAUGUAGUUUCAAGGAUAUGAGAUUUGUGGCUUCCAUCUGCUUCACUGUAACUUCAGAAGGAUAAGAUCUACAGCUUCAAUCUUCUCUUCUAUUGCUUCCGUGAGAUAAGGUUUUGGUCUUCUCUUCUGCCACUUCAGAAAGGCAAGAUCUGAUAUCCUCGACCAGCUCCACUGCAACUUCAGGGAGACAAAAUCUAGUGCCUUCAAUCGGCUCCAAUCUUUGUUCUUUACUCGGUGUGUGAUCCUGAGCUCAACUCAUUUCUCACAAUAUGAAUUGACUUUUAAAAACUAGACAUUAAAAACAGAAAUUGAAAAAUAGCUCAGCACGUGAGCAAAGACUCAACUCACUUCUCGCAAUAUGAGUUAAUUUUUGAAAACAGAAUUUGCCAAACAGAUUUUGGAAAUACCUUGGCAUGUGACCCGAGGCUCAACUCACCUCUCGUAAUAUGAGUUGAUUUUUGAAAAGCAUAAAUUGAAAAAACAUUAAUUGAAAAUACCUCAGAGUGCCUCGAGGCUCAACUCACCUCUCGCAAUAUGAGUUGAUUUUGACAAACAGAAAUUGAAAAGACCUUAGCAUGUGAGCCGAGGCUCAACUCACCUCUCGUGAUAUGAGUUGAUUUUUGACAAAAAAAAAUUGAAAUUACCUCAGCGUGUCCUGAGGCUCAACUCACCUCUCACAAUAUGAGUUGAUUUUUUUGAAAAGCAGAAAUUGGAAAGCAGAAAUCGAAAAUACCUCAGUGUGCCCUGAGGCUCAACUCACCUCUCGCAAUGAGUUAAUUUUUUUUUUGACAAACAUAAAUUGAAAUUACCUCAGCGUGUCUUGAGGCUCAACUCACCUCUCGCAAUAUGAGUUAAGUUUUUUUGAAAAGCAGAAAUCGAAAAUACCUCAGCGUGCCCUGAGGCUCAACUCACCUCUCGCAAUAUGAGCUGAUUUUUGAAAAACAUAAAUUGAAGAAAACAGAAAUUGAAAUUACCUCAGCAUGUCCUGAGGCUCAACUCACCUCUCACAAUAUGAGUUGAUUUUUGAAAAACAGAAAUAAAACAUCAGAAUACCAAAACAUGUCAUCUGGUGGAAUUCAUGUGUCUUUUCAGCUAUCAUCACAUCCUCUUGCUCUACUGGAGUACCUGUAUAUGUCAUGCAUGAUGUCAUCAUCAUAUGCACAUGUUUGUCUUAAAUGCAUUUAUGCCUACAUGAUUAUGAUAUGAGCUUUAGGCAUGUUUGUCAUAUAUCCCUUUUUCGUCACGAUUUUUGAUGAUCUAUGUUCAUUGUUUCAACUCUUGACUUUCUCUUCAGGCUCUGUACCCGUCCUCAAGCUUCACGAAUAAUCUGUAUUUCCCAAAUAUCACUCUUUUGCCCCUGGUUGAGUUUUGUCCUUGCGUUGAGGCUCUUGUACUUAUCAAAUUCUUACCCGGGUAAUGCUUAACAUUUCUUUUGUCUAGAGUAUGUCAUUUCACUAUUUAUCAUGUAAACGGACCACAUAAUGAGAUGCAUGAAAAAAAUGGUCAGGUAGGGACAAAAGGAUACCUCGCAUUUAUUCAUUUCAAAUGUGGUAAACAAAGAAAGUUAACCAAUAAUAGUAAAAAAGUGUCAUAAAGAGAAAAGGGAUUGCAUUCAACGAAUACAAAUGCUCUAGAUAUUCAAUUCAUGAACUUUUCCACGUUUCUCAAUUAAGAAUCUUUUCGAGCAUGGCUUCUUGCGUAAAAGAUUUCGAGUUUUCAGAAAUGCUUCAAAUACUGUAGUCUCACUAUUUGACCCACCGUUCAAAACGCCUUGUUCUUUAAGCCCGGGUUUGCUUCAUUAGAAUGCCCUUUCGAGUUUUCAUCCUAAUCUUUUGUGUUUAAUCAAGAUGCCCUUUUCGGGUUUUCACCUUGAUCCCUUUUUUCUCUCUUUUUUUUUCUUUUUUUGCUUUUUUUAAGAUGUCCUUUUCGGGUUUUCAUCUUGGUUUCCCUUUUCAAGCAUAAUAUUUCUUUACAGCAUCUAAGUUCACUAGACUCGGUAACUCCUUCCCAUCCAUCUCGGUGAGAAUCAAAGCUCCAUCCGAGAAUGCCUUCUUUACGACGUAUGGUUCUUCUCAAUUCGGUGCCCAUUUUCUUCACAGGUCUCUUUGUAUUGGGAGAAUCUUUCUCAGCACGAGUUCUCCUUCUUGAAAUUCUCUUGGCCGUAUUUUCUUGUCAUGAGCCGCGAUCAUUCUCUCCUGGUACAUUUGUCUAUGACAAAUUGCCUUUAGACGUUUUUCUUCGAUGAGGUUUAACUGGUCAUAUCGAGCUCGAACCCAUUCUUCUUCCUCUAAUUUUGACUCUAUUAAGACUCGUAGAGAGGGGAUCUCAACUUUGAUAGGUAGCACAGCAUCUAUUCCAUAGACCAGAGAGAAAGGAGUUGCCCCCGUAGAUGUCCAAACAGAUGUGCGAUAUGCAUACAAAGCAAAUGGUAGCUUCUUGUGCCAGUCUUUAUAUGUCUCAGUCAUUUUCCCAAUAAUCUUCUUAAUAUUCUUGUUGGCCGCUUCAACCGCUCCAUUCAUCUUUGGGCGAUAGGGCGAGGAGUUAUGAUGCUUUAUUUGGAAUUGCUCACACACUUCUUUCAUCAUCUUGUUGUUCAAAUUUAAGGCAUUAUCUGAAAUGAUUCUUUCAGGCAAACCAUAUCGACAAAUGAUUUCCUUUUUCAAAAACCUGCAAACCGCAGUCUUCGUCACAUUGGCAAACGAUGCGGCUUCUAUCCAUUUUGUGAAGUAAUCAAUGACCACAAAAAUGAACCAGUGUCCAUUGGAAGCUUUUGGGGAAAUUGGCCCUAUAACAUCUAUGCCCCACAUAGAAAAAGGCCACGGAGAAGUCAUGACGUGAAGGGGCAAAGGGGCUACAUGAAUUUUAUCACCAUAAAUUUGACAUUUGUGGCAUUUUCGUGCGAAAUUAAUGCAGUCACUUUCUAUCGACAGCCAGUAAUAUCCGAGUCUUAUAAUCUUCCUGGCCAUAGUGAAACCAUUGGCAUGUGUCCCGCAAAUUCCUUCAUGGACAUCUUUAAGUAUUUUUCUAGCUUCAACUGUAUCCACGCAUCUCAAGAGCACCUGAUCUUUUCCUCUUUUGUAUAGGAUGUCCUCAUCAAGAAUAAAUUCCGUUGCCAUUCUUCUGAUUGUUCUUCUGUCGUUCACAUUUGCUUGCUCGGGAUACUUUUGAUUCUUGAUGUAUUCUAAGAUAUCAUGGAACCAUGGCUGCCCAUCUGGCUCUUUCUCAAUGCUGAAACAAUGUGCAGGGACUUCAUAUAUGCUCAUUUGAAGAGGCAUUAUUUCUGUUUCUCUGUUUGCUUUAAACAUUGAAGCCAAAGUGGUCAGGGCAUCAGCUAACUGGUUUUCUUCUCGUGGAAAGUAAUUAAAAGUUAUUUCUUUGAAUUCUUUAAUUAACCCUGCCACGAGAUCACUGUAUUUGACUAAUUUUGAAUCCCUCAUUUCUCAAUCUCCACGGAUCUGAUAAAUCACUAAUGCUGAGUCUCCGUAUACCUCUAAAGUUUGGAUGUUUUGUUCAAUUGCUGCACGAAGUCCCAUGAUACAAGCUUCAUAUUCCGCUAUGUUAUUGGUACAGAAGAAAUUCAGCCUGGCAGUGAACGGAUAAUGGUUCCCUUCUGGUGAUACUAAGACUGCUCCAAUCCCAUGCCCCAAUGCAUUCGAUGCACCAUCAAAGCUCAUCCUCCAUGACUUUUCUUUUGAUGACUCACAUUCUUUUUCUGUAAUGCACAUUAAGUCUUCAUCUGAGAAAUCAAAUUUCAAUGGCUCGUAUUCCUUCGUUGUUCGAGUUGCUAAGAAGUCAGCUAUUGCACUCCCUUUUAUCGACUUUUGGCUCACAUAGACGAUGUCAUAUUCUGAAAGUAAGAUCUGCCAUUGUGCCAUUCUUUCUGAGAGUGCGGGUGAUUCCAUCAUCUACCUUAUUGGGUCCAACUUUGAAAUUAGCCUUGUCGUAUGAUACAACAUAUAUUGCCUGAGUCUCCGAGCUACCCAAACCAGAGCGCAGCAGUAUUUUUCUAUGGAUGAAUACUUUGCCUCAUAUUCAGUAAACUUUUUGCUGAGGUAAUAGAUCACCUUUUCUUUCUUUCCUGACUCGUCGUGUUGCCCCAAUACGCAACCCAUUGAAUUCUCGAACACAGUUAAAUACAAUAUCAAUGGUCUUCCCGGCAUUGACGGUACUAGCACUGGAGGAUUAGACAAAUACUAUUUUAUCUUGUCAAAAGCCACUUGGCACACCUCGUUCCAUUCUUCGGGAUUAUGUUUUCGAAGGAGUCGAAAGAUUGGGUCGCAUUGGUUAGUAAGUUGAGCGAUAAAUCGGGCGAUGUAGUUUAACCUCCCUAAAAAUCCUCUGACUUCCUUUGGCGUGCGCGGUAGUGGUAACUCUUGAAUAGCUUUUAUUUUAUCUAGAUCAACCUCGAUACCUCUUUCACUGACAAUGAAGCCCAGUAAUUUUCCCGAGGUAGCCCCAAACGUACAUUUGGCCGGAUUGAGCUUUAGUUGGAACUUUCUCAGUCUGUCGAACAAUUUCUUCAGGUUCACUACAUGCUCUUCUUCCCCUUGGGAUUUAGCAAUCAUAUCGUCGAUGUAGACCUCUAUUUUUUUAUGCAUCAUGUCAUGGAAUAACGUCACCAUAGCCCUCUGAUAUGUUGCCCCAGCAUUCUUUAACCCAAAUGGCAUCACCUUGUAGCAGAAUGUUCCCCACAUUGUUACGAAUGUAGUUUUCUCCAUAUCCUCAGGGGCCAUCUUGCUCUGAUUAUACCCUGAGAAUCCAUCCAUGAAAGAAAACAAUGAAUGUUUUGCUGUGUUAUCCACCAACGUAUCAAUGUGUGGUAAGGGAAAAUUAUCUUUAGGACUUGCUCGAUUCAGGUCACGAUAAUCCACGCACAUUCGUACUUUGCCGUCUUUCUUUGGUACCGGGACUUAUUAGCCACCCAUUCUGGAUAUUUGGAGGCUUGUAGGAAGCCAGCAUCAAAUUUCUUCUUGACUUCUUCUUUUAUCUUCAACAACAUUUCGGGUCUCAUCCGUCUUAACUUUUGUUGAACGGGUUUGCAUUCUGGCUUUAAUGGGAGCUUAUGGACCACUACAUCUUCAUCCAAUCUUGGCAUGUCUUGAUAUGACCAUGCGAAUACAUCUUUGUACUCGCGGAGCAAAGCAAUCAAAUUAUGCUUGCUGCCCCCUGAAAUAGAAGUCCCAAUCUUCACUUCUUGCUUCCUUUCUUCAGUUCCCAAAUUUAUUGUUUCAACAGAUUCUUGAUGAGGCAAAAUCUAUUUAUCCUCUUGUUUCACCAUUCUUAGCAAGUUAGGAGACGAUACAUAGUCUUCAGCAUUUUCUUCGACUUCAAAUUCUCCUAAACAAACAGCCUUCUCAAAAUCGAUUUCAGAACUUGUAACGGGUUUGUUCAUGCUGUUGAUAUCUGAGCACCUGAAAGUUGAAUGGAAAAGGAAACUAUAGAGGGGCAUCUAAGUAUUGAAACCAACAAACUGAAUGUUAUGGUAUGACGUGAGGCAAUUGUAAAGAUAGGCUAUAAAAUGAUUAUGGAAUUAGUGAUAAUGCGAAAAAAUCGUGACAAAAUGCAUCUUCAUUGAUAUUCAUUUAAAUGAUAAAGAGCGAAUGCAAGCUCUUACAAAAAAAAUUAUGUUAUAUCUGAGGACAUAACAGAAUGUUAACGUUUGAUCAUUACUCUAAAGACUUAUAAACUACAAGAAGAUCCUGGGCAGUCCAAUUGUUCAACAUGAAACCCGGGGGAAAAAGGCGUAUCUUUGAGAUGUCUUUACUCGCGUCAGCUCCUUUGUCAAUGACAUUUAUACUGAUAUUCUGAAAACCCUCUUCGAUCAUUAACAUUGUGCUUUGUGCACUAUACUUCCCUAGGUAUAUCAUUCCCGCAGACGUAAAUAUUCUUGACAAAGGAGGAAAUUCCAUGGGCUCCCAUUCUGGUUCUCGGCCUAGUGUUCUUAUGAUCCUUCUUUCCUGAUCUUUCUUUCACUGCUUUCUUCUUUGACGCAUGUCCGGCUGGAACCCUAAACCGUAUCGGGCCUUGUGGUGUACUGGCUUUAGAGCCCUGACUAUUCCUUGCAGGUACCUUCCCAAACCUUUCCUUGCUCGGGCUCCCUUUUCUACAGUCAAUUUGACACCCAUCUUGGUAUUUCUCGAUAGUUUUGGCGCGGGAAUUCUGUUUCCCUCAGCGACGAAUAUGGCAUUGACGAAUUCAAAGGAUCAGAAGGAACAUUCUACUGCGUCUUUGUUUACUUCGAGGUAGGGUGCAUCAGCAGAGAUAGAUGCGACAAUGUCUUCUUCUCCCUCGACAGUGACCAAACAACCAUCCAUGAUAAAUUUCACCUUUUGAUGGAGGGAUGAUGGUCCUGCUCCAGCAGAAUGGAUCUAAGGUCUUCCCAAGAGACAAUUGUAUAAUGGUGUAAUGUCCAUGACUUGAAACUCAUCAUUGUAUAUGUAGGGACCCACUUCUAGAGGGAUCUCGAUUUUUCCCGUAACUUUUCGUCUUAUUCCAUCGAAUGCCCUUACUGUAGAAUGGCCGGGCCUUAGAUAGGACAAAUCCAUCGGAAUCCUGGAAAGUGUGGCCAAAGGCAUGACAUUGAGUGCCGAUCCAUUGUCGAUGAGCACGUUCGGUAUUAUAUAGCCCUUACAACGGGUUGUGAUAUGCAAUGCUUUCACUGAGCCUCUACCAUUGGGCGGUAUUUCAUCGUCACUAAAGGAAAUGAAAUUAUCCGCAUUUAAGUUGUUCAUCCAUCUAUCCAGUUUUUCAACGGAUACAUUGUUUGUCACAUAAGCUUGAUUUAAUACUUUCAGCAGAGCGUUCCGGUGUGGUUCUGAAUUCAACAGCAGAAAUAAUACCGAGAUUCGCGCUGGCUGCUUACUCAAUUGUUCUACCACGUUGUACUCACUAUGCUUGAUAAAUUUUAAGAAUUCCUGUGCUUCCUCAUCGUCCACAGGCUUUUUAGCUUCUUGUUCAGGCACAGUUUCAUGCUCCUCUUUGGUCACGUGCAUCGGUGCUUUUCCUUUCUGUUUCAAGUCACUGUUCUUCUUCACCUCCUUCGAAUAACAUCUUCCACUACGAGUGAAAUGACCUACUUCCCCGACGCCUCCAGUCAUGGCUUUGGGUUUUUCAUCUUCAGGUGUGACGAUAUUAACGUCAUAUUUCUACGGUACUGUUUUAUUAUCCUUGUAAGAGAAAGGAGACGGUACUUCAAUUAUCAUUUUUUGUUUCACCGAUUCCUUCCUUGCUUCGUAAUAAAUUACGAAUGGUCGAUCGGCGCUAUACGGACAACUUGACGAUUGAUUGUCAGAGGCACAUUGUAAUAUCCUAAAUUAGGGCUUAAUCGGAAUAGUGGUUUCGUGACCACAAAUCCAAGAUAGAAAUAAUUAUUUUAUAAUUAUUUUGAUGAUUAUGAUAUGAUUGCAUGAUUGUGUGAAAAUUUCGUGAUGAAAUUCUAUGCCUAAAGUGCUUAAAUUGAAAGUAGGGACUAAAUCGAAUAAGUUGCAAAACUUGCAUUCUAGAAGUUUUUAGUAUGAAAUUGUUUUGGAAUAUUAAUGAGAAGGUCUUAAAUAGCAAUUUGACCAAUUUUAAGUUCAUGGACAAAAUUAGGACAUGGAGGGAAUUUUUGGAAAGUUUAGUAGUAAGGGUAUUUUGGUCAUUUAGUUAUUAAAAUGAAUUAAAAACAAAAUUAAAAGCCAAUUUUUGUCCAUCUUCUUCAUUAGGCCGAAAUUUCAAGGGUUCUCCAUAGCUAGGGUUUGUUUCAAGCUUCCAAGCUCCAUAGUAAGUGAUUCCAAGCCCCGUUUUUAAUGUUCUUUACGUUUUUGGAAUCCCGAAAGCUCGAUUAAGCUUAUGCUAGCAAUAAUUCAACCUAGGGUUUAUAUUUGGAAAAAUACCCAUAGGUGAAAUUUGUGUAUUUUGAUGUUUUAUAAUAGAAUAUGGGGUUUUAAAUUAUGUUAAACAACUUGUGCUACUCGGUUUUUAGUGAAAACGAGUAAAAGGGCUUAAUCGGCAAAAAUACCUAAUAGUCACAAGUAUAUGUUAGAGAGAGAAUUUGAUGUUGCUAUAGAAGGGAAAAAUGAUCAGCAUGUUAUACACAUACUUCUUGCUCAUUGGCCUCUUCUUGAUUAAUGAUCACAAUCUCCUUAUUAUCUAUCCGGUCUUGCAGUAACCUUUUAAAUUCCUCACAUGAUUGAAUGUCGUGCCCUACAAUUCCAUGAAAAUCACAAAAAACCUGACAUUCUUUUCUGAGAUUAUCGUUGGGGUGACAGAGCAAUCCAUUCUUAACCAGUGCCUCCCAGAUUUUCUGCAGAGGCGUCCUUAUUUCUGAAACACAUCUUCUGACUUGCCAUUCAUCUUCUUUCCCCACUGUGCUCACAUUCCCUUCAGUAUGGUUAGGGAACGGGUUCCCAAUUGCAUUACUGGCACUAUCGAAUCGUAGAAUACCCACAUCAAUUACUCCUUGAACUCUCCUCUUAAAGGCUAGGCAAUUUUCCGUGGAAUGUCCUUGGUUUCCUGCAUGGUAUGCACAACUAGCGUUUGGGUCGUACCAUUUCGCGUAUGGGGGCCUCAAGGGUGCCAUAUAAUGCGGGGAUAUCAAUUGCUUUUCCAAAAGUUUUGGGUACAGCUCCCCAUAUGACACAGGAAUAGGGGUAAAUUAUGGUUUCUUGGAAUAGGGUUUUGCUGGCCUCUGCUCAUUUUUGGGUUGGCCUUGGGCGGGUAUUGUAUUUUGUGGGAAUGUAGUGACGGGCCUUUGGUUGUUCAUGACGUAUACGGGGUAGAAAGGAGGUGGUGCUCGGUAGUAAGGGGUUUGAGGAGGAUAAUAGAAAUUUGGAAGAGGAUAAUUUUGAGGUCGGGGUUGGUUUGAAUAUGGGUUAGGGGCAUAACGGCUUCCCAUUCCCACCAUGUGGGCUUCUAGUUCUUUCUUCUUCAUGGGUGCUGCCCUUCUUGAACUUUCUUGACCUUCCAUUCUACCGCUCUUGACGACAUUUUCUAUAAGCUCACCGGAUAUUACAAUAUCCGCAAAGUCUUUCGUGGCACUUCCCACUAGUUUGUCAUAAAACGGUAUUUUCAAAGUGUUGAUGAAAAGAACGGUUAUCUCCGUUUUCGUUAAUGGGAGUUCCACUUGGGCUGAGACAUCCCUCCAUCUCUGCGCAUACUGUCUAAAAGUUUCUGACGGCUUUUUCUCCAUCAUUUGUAAAGUCAUCCGGUCUGGUACCAUAUCCGAUACAUGCUUGUAUUGCUCACAAAAUGUUGAUGCCAAGUCCUUCCAAGAUCAGAUCCUUUCCCUACCAAGCUGGUUGUACCACCGAAGAGCCGAUCCUACUAGACUGUCCUGAAAACAAUGUAUGAGUAGCUGGUCUUCAUUCACGUAACCAGUCAUUUUUCGGCAAAACAUGACAAGAUGCGCCUUUGGACAUCUUGUGCCAUCGUAUUUUUCGAAAUCAGGCACCUUGAACUUCGGAGGCAGAACUAGAUCGGGCACCAAACUGAGCUCUUUGGCACUUAGUGCAGAGAAGGCUUUAGUACCCUCUAUUGCUUUGAGUCUUUCCUCUAAGCUCAUAUACUUCUCUUGAGCCUCAUGAUCGUCCGUUCUCAACCUGGCUAUUUCCGCUGGAUCGUCCAAAUCUGGAACAAUUGGAUUGGUGGGAUUAGCUCCAGAAUUUGAUAUGAAUAUUCCUUGCCCUAAAUGAGUAUGUGGCACCGACCGUUGCUCUGGGUCUGUGGGUUCUCCUUGGGUGUACCCUCUUUGUGCUGCGCGGGCGUAUGGUGGAGUGAAUCCGGGGGGAUAGAGUGGGUCUUGAUUGUGAUUAACCCUUGACCGAGAUUCCUCGAUGUCAAGGUUCUGCAUGGGUCCCUUUCCUUUAACUAAAGCUGACAUCAUCUCCAUCAUCUUGGCCAUUUGAUCCUUCUGUUCGAGCGAUUCUUCUCGUGAUCUCACCAUUAAGUCUCUCGUCUCUUGCUGUGACCUAGCCAACUACUCUUGUAAUUCCUUUUGGAUUCUUUCCAUUCUUUCAAUCCUUUCAUUGAAUUCAACCUCCAUUGUUCUAGUUUGCCGACGCGUUCUAUACGAGUGGCGUGGUUCCAGAUUUGAAGUAUUGCAACUGCGAAUUGUACGUUUUAACCUUAGCAAAUGAGUACGGGAUAUGCCAUGAAUGAAUGAAUAAAUGCAUGCAUGCUUGAAUGCCAAAUGGAUAUUAGUCAUGAAUGACAUGUAAGGAAUUGGUGUUGAUUUCAAGAUAGCCCCUAUUUAGGCAUUUCAUUCAUCAAAAGAGUUCAUUACAAAACAUUUUGCCAUUUUUGAUUCAGCUAUUACACAAACUUUCUAGCUAUAUCGCCAUAUUUCUUUAUUCACUCUAGGAAUUCUGAUAUGCUCGAUCGUUGGCUUGGUGGGAAUUGGCAACUGAGAUUUUCAGCUUCUUCCGAUAAUUGUACCACGUGCAUGGCUACCCCACGAACUUCAUUGAUCAAAUAGCUAAGUUGCCUUUUUUUUUCCUGGAGGCCCUCUUCGCAAGCACGAACGUCUCUAUCAUACUGACAAUCUUUUUCUUCCAAAGCCUUCAAGAGAGUAUCUAACUGUUGUUGAUGAUCUUGCAGCAUAUCUUCUAACUCUCGUAUCCUUUCUUUUAGUUCUUGACUUUUAGAUCGACUAGUCAUCACCUCGGCAGACACUACUUCAUAUUCGGCGUUCUUCUUCCUCAAUUCUAUCAUAGCCCGCGUAGCCUUUUCUUCUUCUUUCUUUGCUUUUCCUUUCCAAAAUUCCAUCCCUCCUUUAAUGUUGCUUAUCUCCUCUUUCCAUUCUGCCGAUGACUUGCCCAGCCCACUAUUUUUCAUUGUGCCUCUUAACUUAUUAUUUUCCAGAUGGAGGUCUCUUAAGUCAUUUCUCACGACUUCAACUUCUUUUUGCACUUUCUUGGUUCUGGAUCUUUCAAUCUGAAUGUCGAUCUUCAAUUGGUAGUUUUCUUCUUGAAGGGCACUAAGGUCCCGAGACAUCUUAGUCUUUUCUCGUUCAAAUUCUUGUCUUGCUAUUUCUAGCUCAGGCGGCAUUUCCUCUGAGAAAAGAUUCUAGACGGUGGAGUUUGUUGAUGAGAUUUCCUGACUAUUUAUCCGUUGCUUCCUCCAUAUGUUAUAAUCUUGAGUUAGGGUAUCAGCAUAUAAGGCCAAUUCCAUUAGAUGAAUUUUCUUCCAAGAUUUUGCAUUGUCUCGGACCUUCUUCAUAUAUCCUUCACCCGCGAAAGCGAACUCGGAUUGUGCCAAUCCUCCAGCGGCGGGUAUGAAUUGCCGCGAAGAAAAUUACCUUCGGACUAAUAAUGGGGCAUAUCCGACUCCUCCCCAUAAUCUGAGUAGUGGCACCCAAUCUUGAUCUCUGACCUUGUAUAGCAGACCUGACGGGCGUAUCCACGGGGCUCUCCAAGUUACGUCAUCGGCGCGAAGAUUCUGAAAGACUGAGACCCAGUGUUAUUCAGUGACCUCCUUCGGCCAUUCUUUCUUGAGAUAAGCUUCUAACGGGAAGAAUGUUUUAGAAAAUAUAUGGACCGGUGUGCGCUCUACUUUCCAGAAGUAGCUCAGAAUCCAAACAUUAGGUAACUGCGCGCAUCCGAUAAAACGACCUUCCCCUUUCUUCCUACAGCUACUUAGUGAUCUGAAGGUUUCGGCCAGAAUAGUUGGGACGGGGUUGAUUCCUUAUUUUAAUCUUUCAAAGAAAUCUACCACCGUAACUUCUAUGUGUCCAAGGAUCUUCGGGAAGAUGAUCAAACCGUAAAUGGCCAGAGUGAACAGAUUUACCCUUUUCAACAUGUCGAGAUGGUUCAGAACCAAGUCUCGUAGGGAAGACCAUGGGAUACAAAUGGUUUCAUUCUUCUUCUUUAUCUGUUUUUUGACCCACGCGUCAGUCAUGUCUGUCACUCUUACUAACUUUUUCUUGAAGGUCAUUGGCUUAGGCUCUUUCACAUAUAUCUUAUAGGGUUGUAUAUUAUCGACACGGAGCAAAGCAGUGUACUCUUCUAUAGUCAGGGUCAUGUCUUCCUGAUUGAAAGUAAAACAGUGGUAGGCUGGAUCCUAAAAUCUGACCAUGGCUUGGAUCAAUCAUUCGUCUACGCUGACAGCAAUCAAGUUGGCUAUGUCUCCAUAUCUCUCGGCGAAGAUACCUCUAGUAUCCGAGUCCUACUGAUUCCAAACCCGAACCAAAUCUUCAAGGUUAUUCUGGCGAACAUUUACAGUUACGUGCUCGGGCAAAUUGGCAAUACAUCCCUCCACUAGACUAUCCCCUUUUUCGUUCUGAGUUUUUAGAGACCAAUCUCGGACUACGGUAUUUUCCUCGGUUGUUUGUAUAAUUGACUCUUCCAUUAGAAACUCAUUUUUGGCAACCUAUCUUUAGUCAACACCUUUCUAAUAUGAUGCCUAUAAUGCAUGAUGAAAAACAAUACAGCAAAGACAAAUAAUCUUGAUUAGUAAUUAAAUACAGACAGAAAAAAUAUGGAAAAUUGAACGAAUCAAAUUACCCAAAUCUAUUUUAUUAAACAGACCCAAUCCCCUUUGUAUAGACAAUGAAAAUGCAAAAGGCAAGAGGCGUUCCUCCCGUGCACUUAUUUUGGUGACUACUAAACGGACGGAGGUUCAGCAUGGCUCUAGUUAGGUGGCUCGUAUGGUUCAUUAUAUGCGGUUUUGGUUCUAGAUAGGUAUUCGAAUUGUCUGUACUGUCAUCUGCUAAGAUUAGUACGAAGCCUCGGUCAUAGCCCAUCAUAGACUCACGAGUUCAAUUCGAGGGAUUACAUUUACUUAUGCCUAUGCGGAGGGACAAGUUAACUCACAAAAGCAUAAGUCAUAUGUAACCCGAAAGUAUUCACUAGCCUGUGCGGAGGGAUGAGUUAACUCACGAAGGCGUAACGUUUACUUUCACUUAAACGGACGGGGCCAGGGUUGAGAGCUCAUGUUAUACGAAAUGCAAGUGCACGAUGCGUAGGGAGAAACUUGCAAACCUUUCAUUUAUUUUAAAACUACAAAACUAAAACCGUAAAACUUAAAGCUGAAAAACAAAAGAUAAAACAAAUUAGGAGAUAUGUAUGUAUGAUUUUUUUCGAAAACAAAGCUUAAGGAUCAUGAUUAAAUAUUAAUUUGAACACGGAAAUUUGAAAAUUUUGACAACACGCGUUUAAUUCAACUCGACUCUCAAAAAUGGAAGUCCCUAGUGGAGUCGCCAGCUGUAGCGACGUAAAAAUGUUUAGCUUUGGUCGCUAAUUGUGGCGAUUUAUUGAAAACUUGAAAACUGAAGUUUGAUUUUAAAAUAAAGAGGGAGUCGCCACCGAUCCUUUUUCCUAGGUGUGAUCGGACACCUAUUAGAUUUUUUUUAAAAACAAAAGGAAGGCCGAGUUUAGGUCUACGUCAAAAGUCUAGAGAAAAAUAAGGUUCGGGAGUCGGUUACGCGCGGGGAAGGUAUUAGCACCCUCGCGACGCGCAAAAUUGGUAUCUUAUAAACACGUGCUGUCUUGAUUUUUAAAAAUGCGAGUUCAAUGUAAUAUUUAGUCGUGAUCCGAUUGAAAAGACGAAAAAUUUUAGUUUUUAUUUUUUUUGGUUUUUUAGAAGGGUGUUCCGUCUUUAGCACGAGCCGACAAAUUCCACCCAACAUAGCAAUGAAAUCUACGACUUAAUGUUAAAUCGGCGCAUUGCUUUAUUUAUUGAAAUUAAUUAAAACAUAAGAAAAAAAUAUUUCUAAAGUGAGAAUUUAAAAAUAGAUAAACGACGCAAACAAUGAUAUCAUUAAUGAAAAAUUUUAACAUGGAAUACUAGAAAUUAUUAUAACAAUAAUAAUGAUAUUUGCAAAAAAAGAAAAUAAAAACAAAUCAUGUACUAAUAAUAAGAAAAAAAUGAUAUAUUUGGUAAUAAUAAUAUAAAAUAAUAUGUACAUAAAAGAUACUUCAUAUAUAUGCAUAUAAUAAGAGUAUAUAAUAAUAAUAAUAAUAUCUACAAUAAAAGAAAAUAUUAGGAAAUGUACAAAAAAAAUAUAUAAAAUAUUUACAAUAAUGAUGUAAAUAAACAACAAAUAAAAUAUUUGAAAUAACAUAUAAAUGAAACAUUUUUAAAAAAAAGGUUAAUAAAUAAAUUAAAUAGAUUUAGGACAUGGCUAAAAACAAAUUAAAAUUCGGGAUAUAAAAGUAUAAAUAUUGGAUAGUUAAUUAGGGAUCAAAACGAAAACCAAAUAAGAUCUGAGGGUCAAAUUUUAAAAAAAAAACAAAAGAAGAUAGAAAAUGGGGGUUAAUUGAAUGAGGUUGCGAGAGAGGAGGACUAAACGCAUAAAUUUCCCUUUUAGGGAAAGUGCACAGACCCCACCCACCAAACAAAAUAGUGCCGUUUCAACACCAUUAUUUAAAAACAAAGAUUUUUUUUUGUGUUUCACUUUCAACCACCAAUCUUAAAAAAACAAAAAAACUUCCAUGCUCUCUUCCCCUCCCCCUUUUUCUUUCUGUCGAUUGGGUUCAUUAGAGACCCGCCCUACCGCCAACGACGACGGUGGUGACCGCUGUGUACAGCGAAGGAGUGCAACCUAGGUACGCCUACUUUAAAAUUUUUUUAUGUUUCUUUGUUAAAAAAGGUUUUCUUGAAAAAAGAAAAGGAAAAAAAAACAAUGAAUAAAUAUGAAAAAAACAAGGUAAGCAGAGAACAAAAAGAAGAAAAAAGGAAAAAAAAGAACAAAACUAAACCUCUUGAACCUUCCUUCUCUUUUUUUGUUUUCGUAUCCGUUUUUAUUUCCAAUAUCUGUGUUACAAUCUUUCUUUUAAAAAUAAAAAAUAAACCCCUCCUUUUACAACAUUUUUGAAUGGCUUUUUAUAGCCAUCUUUUACAAGUUUUUUAUUACUUUUGCCAUAUUUUCCCGUUUAGCUUGUUUGCUCUGUUUUUGCAGGGUAUGGGGGUGACUGGUGGAGCAGGUGAUGGUGGCUGGUGUCAGAGGAAAGUGGGGAGGUGGCUAGGGUUUUUUUCUUUACUGGAAAAUGUUUAGUAGGUUAGUUUAGGUGGGCUGUUGGUUUAGAUUGGGUUUGAUGAUGUUGGGCUGAUGAAAUUGGGGUGGGUAUUUGGUUGUAUUUGGGCCAAAAUUGGCCUACAACAGCGACUGAGUAAAACACGAGAAAUUUCAAGCUUCGUUUUCUUUUGAGAAAGAUAUACCGUUUUAACACGAGUCGAUUGAUAUUCACCCAACAUAGCGAUGAAAUCGAUGACAUAGUGUUUAAAUCGGUACGUUGCCUUGCUUAUUGAAAUAAAACACGAAUAGAUAUGUUCGAAACAAUGUAAAGCAAAUUAAUAAAUAAAAAUAAAUAAAAUACAAAUUUAGAGGUACAUUGAAGCGAAUAUAAAUGUGACAAUAAUAUUAUAAACAAUAAAGACAUAUAUGAUACUAGAAUUAA